GGAUGUGAAGAUGAGCUGGCUGUGACAUCUGUCACCUUAUUGAUCACUAGGGUUGAUUUGGCUGGUCUGGGUAGCUAGGCAGGAGUUCCCUUCCUCACUUACCACUCUCUCCUGAAACCGAGUGCUGUGUUCAAGAGGACGACCUUCUGGGAAAGAGGAGAGCAUUCUUCUGUCAACGGCAUAGGAGUAGCUGUGCUUUCUUGGUAGAAAUUCCCAAGAAACACUCAAGGACUAUUUGUAAGAGAUCAUAGGGUAGUCAAGCUCCCAAGACUCCAGACACAUUCAAAUGAGGUGCUUCCUGUGGCAGACUGCCUUUCUAA
ensembl:misc_RNA 7SK 7SK RNA